UACGGGGGGAGCAAGCGUUGUUCGGAUUUACUGGGCGUAAAGGGCGCGUAGGCGGUCAGCACAAGUCAGUUGUGAAAUCUCCGAGCUUAACUCGGAAAGGUCAACUGAUACUGUGCGACUAGAGUGCAGAAAGGGCAACUGGAAUUCUCGGUGUAGCGGUGAAAUGCGUAGAUAUCGAGAGGAACACCUGCGGCGAAGGCGGGUUGCUGGGCUGACACUGACGCUGAGGCGCGAAAGCGUGGGGAGCAAACAGG
rnacentral:rRNA from 1 species